CAGAAGUGUGCACUUCCGAUUGGGUAAUUUUGCAUUUGUCACUAAGACAGUUUAUGGUAUACGUGACUACACAGAAUACAAAAUAACGUCUUCAUUUUACCUGUUUAUAUAAGAUACAGAGCCACACUAAACUACUCAAUGGGAUUCAUCUAUUCCAUUCACUUAAAACAAUAAACAAUAACGUAUUCAAG